rnacentral:misc_RNA from 1 species
UCGAUAAUCGAUUGAGAGACCGCGAACCUGUAAACGGAUGACACCAUGUUGGGCAGGUGUUAUGCCCGCCCAACUCGGGACCUCGCAUUGUGUCCGCGGACGCCUCCGAGCGUUUCAGACAUGAUUUGUGGGGGACGAACGAAACCCCGGCACGGCCUGUGCCAAGGAACAUAUGUCAGGACGGAUGUGCGUCAAUGCCUCAGUGGUGGGGCGACGUCCACUCUCUAUC